rnacentral:tRNA from 1 species
GGGCGCUUAGCUCAGUGGGAGAGCGCUGCCUUCACACGGCAGAGGUCAUGGGUUCAAAUCCCCUAGCGCCCA